rnacentral:lncRNA from 1 species
CCUACGCCACCACCCACCCCCAAGAAAAGCACCCUUUUAUCCCAACCCCCCCCCCUCCCCAACAAAGAAUGAUUGAUGGCAAUAAAUUAUCAGGCAGCAGCAGCAGCAGCAGCAGCCAGUGUAGGCAGCAGGUCUUCCUAGCUCUCAGGAGCCCUGGGUUCGCCUUGGAGUCUUUUUUUUUUUUCUGGCGGUGGGUAGUCCCGGAUUUCAGUGACUUGUCUGCCUCAGGGGACAGAGGGGCGACCUCCUGGUCAGUUUAAGGGCUGCGGAGGGGUCCGCCCACCUGACUGAUAGAGAAGACUAGUAGGAUGGUAAGUGACAAAGAUGGCUAAUCGCAGUAGUAAAGAAAAAAGGAGCACCCCUCCUUCUUUCCCGAUUCAGCAUCUGCUCUCCUCCCUCAAAUUGAGUGUAUACUGGGGGAGGGAAGGUACUUGAUCGUGACACCCAAAGCAGAAGCUCUGAGAAAUAAAGAGUGCUCCUUUUGGAGGAAGGGACUGCUAGAAAGCCUUAGGGGGCACCGAUUGCUCCAGAAAGUUUUAACGGUGCAUCCAUAUUUAUGGCUGUUCCCCCCAUCCCCCGCCCCUUCCUCCUCUCUCAGUUCACCUCAACAGAAAUCCCAGAGAAGACGCAAGUCGAGUGCGGAUCACCCCCCGCAGGUCCUCACGCCUCAGACCCAAGCAGCAGCAGAGGAGGCGGCAGCAGUAGCAGAAGGAGCAGCAAUACAGAGGUGAAGAAAAUUGGAGAAGAUUCAAAACUAGACUUCAUGCUGGGUUCUCCAUCCAGACCUGUAACAAUAUUCUGAAGAGAGAGGAGUUACCUUUGAGAUCUUUUACAUCAGGAACUGGAAAAGCCAUUCAUCCAUUUUUUGUAGCUACCCUUACUAACUUUGUGCCAGGAACAAAUCUGCGAAGCAUGCCAUUUAUGACUUCAUCCAAGUCAUUGACAAAAAUGCUCAACACCAAAGCCCCAAAGACAUAUCAUUCAAGGCAUGCCAUAAGAGACCUUCCUAAAAGUCAACCACAAUCCAUUUAUGACUAUUUGAGUCCAUUCAUUAAAUGUGCUCUGAAUUUGCCUCCUAUUGUCUAAUCUAUACCUCUCUAUCAUCUUCAAAAGGAUAGAAAGGAAGAUUUUGUUGAAUUCUAAUUAUAAUCUAGGUAUAAUGACUCUAUGGUAUUUUUCUCUCCACUCUACUAGUCUAAUCUGGCAUGAUCUGUUCUGGAGGCAUUUAGGUGGCUCAGUGCUGGGUUUAGUUAGGAAGACCUGAUUUCAAAUCCUACCUCAGGCAUUUACUAUUUGUAUAAUCUGGGGGAAGUUACUUAACCUUGAUCUGCCUCCAUUUCCUAUGAGGAUAAUAAUAGUACCUACCUCCUAGGGGUUUUGCAAGGAUUAAAUAGUAUUUUUAAAGUAAUUAGCACAGUACUUGGCACUUAAAUACUUAUUUCCUUCCUUUCUUGUUGGCUCAUUG